UAAUUGAAGAGUUUGAUCAUGGCUCAGAUUGAACGCUGGCGGCAGGCCUAACACAUGCAAGUCGAGCGGGGUUUUCGGACCUAGCGGCGG
rnacentral:rRNA from 1 species